rnacentral:rRNA from 1 species
GCCAUCUCUAAGAUAAGAUAUCCCAUAGCAUAAGCUAGUAAGACCCCUCAAAGACUAUGAGGUUGAUAGGCUGCGUGUGUAAGUGCGGUGACGUAUUUAGCUUGGCAGUACUAAUAGGUCGAGGGCUUGACCUU